rnacentral:rRNA from 1 species
AUUGAACGCUGGCGGCGUGCUUAACACAUGCAAGUCGAUCGGUAACAGGUGUAGCAAUACAUGCUGACGAGAGGCGGACGGGUGAGGAAUAUUUGGGAAUCUGCCCAUCAGCGGGGGACAACCCGGGGAAACCCGGGCUAAUACCGCAUACGCUCUACGGAGGAAAGCCGGGGACCGCAAGGCCUGGCACUGAUGGAUGAGCCCAAAUCGGAUUAGCUAGUUGGCGGGGUAACGGCCCACCAAGGCGACGAUCCGUAGCUGGUCUGAGAGGACGAUCAGCCACACCGGAACUGAGACACGGUCCGGACUCCUACGGGAGGCAGCAGUGGGGAAUAUUGGACAAUGGGGGAAACCCUGAUCCAGCGACGCCGCGUGGGUGAAGAAGGCCUGCGGGUUGUAAAGCCCUUUCGGUAGGGACGAAAGCUCUUGCUCUAACAAAGCAGGGGGUUGACUUAACCUACAUAAGAAGCACCGGCUAACUCUGUGCCAGCAGCCGCAGUAAAAC